UACAAGUAGUCAGAGCCCGUUAAUGGGUGAUGGCGUGCCUUUUGUAGAAUGAACCGGCGAGUUACGAUUUGAUGCAAGGUUAAGCAGUAAAUGUGGAGCCGUAGCGAAAGCGAGUCUGAAUAGGGCGUUUAGUAUUUGGUCGUAGACCCGAAACCAGGUGAUCUACCCUUGGUCAGGUUGAAGUUCAGGUAACACUGAAUGGAGGACCGAACCGACUUACGUUGAAAAGUGAGCGGAUGAACUGAGGGUAGCGGAGAAAUUCCAAUCGAACCUGGAGAUAGCUGGUUCUCUCCGAAAUAGCUUUAGGGCUAGCCUCAAGUGAUGAUUAUUGGAGGUAGAGCACUGUUUGGACGAGGGGCCCCUCUCGGGUUACCGAAUUCAGACAAACUCCGAAUGCCAAUUAAUUUAACUUGGGAGUCAGAACAUGGGUGAUAAGGUCCGUGUUCGAAAGGGAAACAGCCCAGACCACCAGCUAAGGUCCCAAAAUAUAUGUUAAGUGGAAAAGGAUGUGGCGUUGCCCAGACAACUAGGAUGUUGGCUUAGAAGCAGCCAUCAUUUAAAGAGUGCGUAAUAGCUCACUAGUCGAGUGACACUGCGCCGAAAAUGUACCGGGGCUAAACAUAUUACCGAAGCUGUGGAUUGUCCUUUGGACAAUGGUAGGAGAGCGUUCUAAGGGCGUUGAAGCAUGAUCGUAAGGACAUGUGGAGCGCUUAGAAGUGAGAAUGCCGGUGUGAGUAGCGAAAGACGGGUGAGAAUCCCGUCCACCGAUUGACUAAGGUUUCCAGAGGAAGGCUCGUCCGCUCUGGGUUAGUCGGGUCCUAAGCUGAGGCCGACAGGCGUAGGCGAUGGAUAACAGGUUGAUAUUCCUGUACCACCUAUAAUCGUUUUAAUCGAUGGGGGGACGCAGUAGGAUAGGCGAAGCGUGCGAUUGGAUUGCACGUCUAAGCAGUAAGGCUGAGUAUUAGGCAAAUCCGGUACUCGUUAAGGCUGAGCUGUGAUGGGGAGAAGACAUUGUGUCUUCGAGUCGUUGAUUUCACACUGCCGAGAAAAGCCUCUAGAUAGAAAAUAGGUGCCCGUACCGCAAACCGACACAGGUAGUCAAGAUGAGAAUUCUAAGGUGAGCGAGCGAACUCUCGUUAAGGAACUCGGCAAAAUGACCCCGUAACUUCGGGAGAAGGGGUGCUCUUUAGGGUUAACGCCCAGAAGAGCCGCAGUGAAUAGGCCCAAGCGACUGUUUAUCAAAAACACAGGUCUCUGCUAAACCGUAAGGUGAUGUAUAGGGGCUGACGCCUGCCCGGUGCUGGAAGGUUAAGAGGAGUGGUUAGCUUCUGCGAAGCUACGAAUCGAAGCCCCAGUAAACGGCGGCCGUAACUAUAACGGUCCUAAGGUAGCGAAAUUCCUUGUCGGGUAAGUUCCGACCCGCACGAAAGGCGUAACGAUUUGGGCACUGUCUCAACGAGAGACUCGGUGAAAUCAUAGUACCUGUGAAGAUGCAGGUUACCCGCGACAGGACGGAAAGACCCCGUGGAGCUUUACUGUAGCCUGAUAUUGAAAUUCGGCACAGCUUGUACAGGAUAGGUAGGAGCCUUUGAAACGUGAGCGCUAGCUUACGUGGAGGCGCUGGUGGGAUACUACCCUAGCUGUGUUGGCUUUCUAACCCGCACCACUUAUCGUGGUGGGAGACAGUGUCAGGCGGGCAGUUUGACUGGGGCGGUCGCCUCCUAAAAGGUAACGGAGGCGCUCAAAGGUUCCCUCAGAAUGGUUGGAAAUCAUUCAUAGAGUGUAAAGGCAUAAGGGAGCUUGACUGCGAGACCUACAAGUCGAGCAGGGUCGAAAGACGGACUUAGUGAUCCGGUGGUUCCGCAUGGAAGGGCCAUCGCUCAACGGAUAAAAGCUACCCCGGGGAUAACAGGCUUAUCUCCCCCAAGAGUUCACAUCGACGGGGAGGUUUGGCACCUCGAUGUCGGCUCAUCGCAUCCUGGGGCUGUAGUCGGUCCCAAGGGUUGGGCUGUUCGCCCAUUAAAGCGGUACGCGAGCUGGGUUCAGAACGUCGUGAGACAGUUCGGUCCCUAUCCGUCGUGGGCGUAGGAAAUUUGAGAGGAGCUGUCCUUAGUACGAGAGGACCGGGAUGGACAUACCUCUGGUGUACCAGUUGUCGUGCCAACGGCAUAGCUGGGUAGCUAUGUGUGGACGGGAUAAGUGCUGAAAGCAUCUAAGCAUGAAGCCCCCCUCAAGAUGAGAUUUCCCAACUUCGGUUAUAAGAUCCCUCAAAGAUGAUGAGGUUAAUAGGUUCGAGGUGGAAGCAUGGUGACAUGUGUAGCUGACGAAUACUAAUCGAUCGAAGACUUAAUCAA
rnacentral:rRNA from 1 species